rnacentral:rRNA from 1 species
UACGGAGGGUGCAAGCGUUAAUCGGAAUUACUGGGCGUAAAGCGUGCGCAGGCGGUUUGUUAAGUCUGUUGUGAAAUCCCCGAGCUCAACUUGGGAAUUGCAAUGGAUACUGGCAGGCUCGAGUAUGGUAGAGGAAGGUGGAAUUCCCGGUGUAGCAGUGAAAUGCGUAGAGAUUACUAGGAACACCAAUGGCGAAGGCAGCUUGCUGGGCCUUUUCUGACGCUGAGGUACGAAAGCGUGGGGAGCGAACAGG